AUUGAACGCUGGCGGCAGGCCUAACACAUGCAAGUCGAGCGGAUGAAGGGAGCUUGCUCCUGGAUCCAGCGGCGGACGGGUGAGUAAUGCCUAGGAAUCUGCCUGGUAGCGUGGGAUUACGUCCGGAAACGGGCGCUUAUUCUGCAUACGUCCUGAGGGAGAAAGUGGGGGAUCGUCGGAUCUCUCGCUAUCAGAUGAGCCUACGUCGGAUCAGCUAGUUGGUGGGGUAAAGGCCUACCAAGGCGACGAUCCGUAACUGGUCUGAGAGGAUGAUCAGUCACACUGGAAGUGGACGACGGUACAGGCUCCGACGGGAGGCAGCAGUUGCGAAGAUUGGACGAUGGGCGGAAGCCUGAACCAUGCGUGCCACGCGUGUGAAGAAGGUCUUCGUAUUGUAAAACACUUUUAGGUGUGAGGAAGGGCAGUAAGUUGAUCGCUUGCUGUUUUGACGUUACCUAGAGAAUAAGCACCGGCUAACUACGUG
rnacentral:rRNA from 1 species